CAUACUAUUUGCAAAAGUGCACAACCCAAGGUAUUGCAAGUGGGGUAUGUCCAGUCUUUUUUAGAAGUCACUUAAUGACAAACACUGGCCAAAGUUAGCGUUUAUAUUUGUUUUUGUGUGAAAAAAACCAAAAAAAAAAUAUUUGGCCAGUGUUUGUGACUACGUGACUACUAAAAUUACAGGACAUACACCAUUUGCAAAACCUUGGGUUGUCUACGUUUGCAAAUGGUAUG